rnacentral:misc_RNA from 1 species
UACGUAGGGCGCAAGCGUUGCUCGGAUUUACUGGGCGUAAAGGGCGUCUAGGCGGCCCUUCAAGUCGCGCGUGAAAUCUCCACGGCUCAACCGGGAGCUUGCGCGCGAUACUGUUGGGCUUGAAUGCGGUAGAGGGAAGCGGAAUUCACAGUGUAGCGGUGGAAUGCGCAGAUAUUGUGGAGAACACCGAUGGCGAAGGCAGCUUCCUGGGCCUGCAUUGACGCUGAAGCGCGAAAGAUAGGGGAGCAAACAGG